rnacentral:misc_RNA from 1 species
GGAAGGAUCAUUAACAAAUCAGUUGCACCUUGUGCAAUAUGCGCUCCGGAGCAAUCCGGAUGCACAAUAUAAGCUUUAUUGUAAUUAUUUUGUAUGUUGGAAAAAAAUGUAAAAACCACUUUUAACAACGGAUCUCUAGGCUCUUGCAUCGAUGAAGAACGCAGUAAAGUGCGAAAAGUAAUGCGAAUUGCAUGCUCUGCGAGUCAUCUAAUCUUUGAACGCAAAUGGCACUGUCACGUCAAGUGAUAGUAUGCCUGUUUGAGAACCAUAUAACCCAUCACCAUUAGUUAAUGGUGGACAUGUCCAUUUCGCAUGAAUAGGAUUAAAAGAAUAUACUUGAUGUGAAGCAUCACGAUGUGAUAAUAUCUUCAUUGUGAUGUUUUGCAAUUAGUCGAGUACACAACUAGUCUUGGUGUGGUUGAGCAUGGUAGUGCGUAUAGCUAUACUAGCUAUAACUAGCUAUACUAGCUAUACUAACUACUAUACUCAAUCUACCUAGUCAUUAUUAUAAUGGUCUCAAAUCAGGCAAGGCUACCCGCUGAACUUAAGCAUAUCAGUAAGCGGAGGAAAAGAAACUAACAAGGAUUCCCGUAGUAACGGCGAGUGAAGUGGGAAUAGCUCAAAUUUAAAAUCUGGCCUUUGUGCCCGAAUUGUAUUCUAAAGAGGUGCUAUCGCAAGCAACAUUGUGCACAAGUGUCCUGGAAUGGACCAUCACAGAGGGUGAGAAUCCCGUUUGGGCACAGUGAAGCGAGCAUAUGAGGCACUCUCAAAGAGUCGAGUUGUUUGGGAAUGCAGCUCAAAAUGGGUGGUAAACUUCAUCCAAGGCUAAAUAUUGGCAAGAGACCGAUAGCGAACAAGUACCGUGAGGGAAAGAUGAAAAGCACCUUGAAAAGGGAGUUAAAUAGCGCGUGAAAUUGUUAAAAGGGAAACGAUUGAAGCUAGCAUUGUUGUAUGGUGCGAGUGCGUGAGUGUGGUGUAGAGCGCAAGCCUACUAAGCAUGUAAGCAGGAGCAGCGUGCAGCGAGUCAGGGCCGCUUUGGACUGCCUUAGAAGACCUGGGGAAGGUAACUACAUAUAAUGUGCAGUCUUAUAGCCCCAGGGGAUGUGGUGGUCUGGAGGUGGUACUAAUGGAAGGAUUGUCGGACUGUAGCGGAUGGCCUGUGUAGACUACUUGUAGACUAUGUUUGGUGUCUGAUGCACAAAGAUAUACAACCAUGGGACCCUGUCGGAAUGGCUUUAAACGACCCGUCUUGAAACACGGACCAAGGAGUCUAACAUGUAUGCGAGUGUUUGAGUGGCAAACUCGAACGCGCAAUGAAAGUGUAAUGUGGGAACACGAAUAGUGGGCACCAUGGACCGAUCUUGAUAUCUCUUGAUGGAUUCGAGUCAGAGCAUAAAUGUUGGGACCCGAAAGAUGGUGAACUAUGCCUGGAUAGGAUGAAGCCAGAGGAAACUCUGGUGGAGGUCCGCAGCCGUUCUGACGUGCAAAUCGAUGGUCAAAUCUGGGCAUAGGGGCGAAAGACUAAUCGAACCAUCUAGUAGCUGGUUCCCUC